AGUGAACGCUGGCGGUAGGCCUAACACAUGCAAGUCGAACGGCAGCACAGUAAGCGCUUGCUCUUACGGGUGGCGAGUGGCGGACGGGUGAGGAGUACAUCGGAAUCUACUUUUUCGUGGGGGAUAACGUAGGGAAACUUACGCUAAUACCGCAUACGACCUACGGGUGAAAGCAGGGGAUCUUCGGACCUUUCGCGAUUGAAUGAGCCGGCGUCGGUUUUGUUAGUUGGCGGGGUAAAGGACCACCAAGGAGACGAUACGUAGCUGGGCUGAGAGGGGGAGAGGCCCCAGUGGGACUGAGACACGGCCCCAACUCCCACGGGAGGGCGCAGGAGGGAAUAUUCGGCAAUAGGGGCAAGGCUGAGCGAGAAACGCCGCGUGAGGGAAGAAGGGUCUCGGAUCUUAAAAAGCUGUUUGUAGAGAAGAACGAUGGUGAGAGUGGAAAGCCCAUUAAGUGACGGUAACUAAAAAGAAAGGGACGGCUAACUACGUG
rnacentral:rRNA from 1 species